rnacentral:tRNA from 1 species
GUGAGUAUAGCUCAACUGGUCAGAGCGCCAGGUUGUGGCCCUGGAGGUUGCGGGUUCGAGUCCCGCUACUCACCCACCA